UCAGUUAUCGUAUAUUUGAUAGUACCUACUACAUGGAUAACCGUGGUAAUUCUAGAGCUAAUACAUGCUUAAAAUCCCGACUUCGGAAGGGAUGUAUUUAUUAGAUUAAAAACCAAUGCCCUUCGGGGCUCACUGGUGAUUCAUAAUAACUUCUCGAAUCGCAUGGCCUUGUGCCGGCGAUGGUUCAUUCAAAUUUCUGCCCUAUCAACUUUCGACGGCUGGGUCUUGGCCAGCCGUGGUUACAACGGGUAACGGAGGGUUAGGGCUUGACCCCGGAGAAGGAGCCUGAGAAACGGCUACUACAUCCAAGGAAGGCAGCAGGCGCGCAAAUUACCCAAUCCCGAUACGGGGAGGUAGUGACAAUAAAUACUGAUACAGGGCUCUUUUGGGUCUUGUAAUUGGAAUGAGUACAAUUUAAAUCCCUUAACGAGGAACAAUUGGAGGGCAAGUCUGGUGAACAAAAGUACAAUGCUGCUUGCGCCAGAAAGAGUAUUAGGUAGAGAUAUCUAUCUACUGCUAGUCGAGCACCCGAAACAGCUGCGGGUGGGUGCCGGCGACACAACCUGGAUCGGGGAAGGCUAAGGGGCUCAGCCUAUGCUAAUCCCGCGCGGAGUCUCAGUAGAGUGAUCUUCUGAAGACCCGUGUAGAGCGCGCCAAGGUGUGGGCUGCCCUGUGCUUGCACAGGCGGCUUAAGGGACGUGCCGACCACCGGGAAACCGGAUUCCUCCAUGGAGCACCCGCAAGUGCAAAGUAGGAGGACACCUUCCAGGGUACCUAGUACCUGUCGGGAGGUGGGGAGAACUCUUCGGCCAGCAGCCGCGGUAAUUCCAGCUCCAAUAGCGUAUAUUAAAGUUGUUGCAGUUAAAAAGCUCGUAGUUGAACCUUGGGCCUGGCUGGCCGGUCUGCCUCACCGCAUGCACUGGUCCGGCCGGGCCUUUCCCUCUGGGGAGCCGCAUGCCCUUCACUGGGUGUGUCGGGGAACCAGGACUUUUACUGUGAAAAAAUUAGAGUGUUCAAAGCAGGCCUAUGCUCGAAUACAUUAGCAUGGAAUAAUAGAAUAGGACGUUGCGGUUCUAUUUUGUUGGUUUCUAGGACCGCCGUAAUGAUUAAUAGGGACAGUCGGGGGCAUCAGUAUUCAAUCGUCAGAGGUGAAAUUCUUGGAUCGAUUGAAGACUAANUANUGNGAAAGCAUUUGCCAA
rnacentral:rRNA from 1 species